GAUGAACGCUGGCGGCGUGCCUAAUACAUGCAAGUCGAGCGAACGGACGAGAAGCUUGCUCCUCUGAUGUUAGCGGCGGACGGGUGAGUAACACGUGGAUAACCUACUUAUAAGACUGGGAUAACUUCGGGAAACCGGAGCUAAUACCGGAUAAUAUUUUGAACCGCAUGGUUCAAAAGUGAAAGACGGUCUUGCUGUCACUUAUAGAUGGAGCCGCGCUGCAUUAGCUAGUUGGUAAGGUAACGGCUUACCAAGGCAACGAUGCAUAGCCGACCUGAGAGGGUGAUCGGCCACACUGGAACUGAGACAAGGUCCAGACUCCUACGGGAGGCAGCAGUAGGGAAUCUUCCGCAAUGGGCGAAAGCCUGACGGAGCAACGCCGCGUGAGUGAUGAAGGUCUUCGGAUCGUAAAACUCUGUUAUUAGGGAAGAACAUAUGUGUAAGUAACUGUGCACAGCUUGACGGUACCUAAUCAGAAAGCCACGGCUAACUACGUG
rnacentral:rRNA from 1 species